rnacentral:rRNA from 1 species
AUGCAAGCACUGGAGACAUUGGAAAUUGUGAGGGUUGCAAUCCAGCCAUUGGACUUCCUGUGUGGCCUUGGCCAACUCCAGAAUUUGAGGAAUCUGCAGCUUGAUCUUAGUAUCAAAAUUGAUUAUGACACUAAGGAUACAUAUGUGGUUGGGGAGAAAAGCAACAAAGCUAUGGUCUCUUCCAUGUGUAAGCUAGGCACCCAGAACCUCCGCUCCCUUCAUAUUUAUAAAGGGAGCAGCCUCUUGCAGGAACCUUUGUGUCUGCCCACCCUCGAGAAACUUAUUACCAAGUCUUCAGUCAUCCCGCGAGUUCAGAGAUGGAUGAGCUCCCUAAUAAACCUCCAACAGCUACACAUUCAAUUGGUGACAGUCAAGCAGGAUGAUCUCUGCAUUCUUGGGGGCUUACCCAGUCUGCUCUUUAUGCAUUUGGAGGAUCUCCAAGAGCCCAAUCUGUUGAUUAUGCAUCUGCUGGGACAAAGUUUGCCAAACAAAAAGCUCAGAAUGAGUGGUGAAGUUGGGUUCCAGUUCUUGACGAUUUUUAUUUAUGAUGCACAUUCUCACCCGAUAGAUCUGAUGUUUGCAGCAGGAUCCAUGCCCAAGCUAGAAAACCUCAUGCUUAACUCUGUGGGCAGAGUUAAAGGUGAUAGUCCGGACUUUGGAAUCGAGAACCUUCCUUGCCUCGUUACUGUCAAAUGUGUAGUAGGGUGCAGCGAUUUCAGGGUUGAAGCCGUGAAGAGUGCCAUGGAGAGAGCAGUCAGCAUACAUCCCAACCACCCUAGUCUACUCUUUGAGAAGAAUUGGUGGAUAUAA